rnacentral:rRNA from 1 species
GAUGAACGCUGGCGGCGUGCCUAACACAUGCAAGUCGAGCGAUCUCUUCGGAGAGAGCGGCGGACGGGUGAGUAACGCGUGGGUAACCUGCCCUGUACACACGGAUAACAUACCGAAAGGUAUACUAAAACGGGAUAAUAUAUGAAAGUCGCAUGGCUUUUGUAUCAAAGCUCCGGCGGUACAGGAUGGAUCCGCGUCUGAUUAGCUAGUUGGUAAGGUAAUGGCUUACCAAGGCAACGAUCAGUAGCCGACCUGAGAGGGUGAUCGGCCACACUGGAACUGAGACACGGUCCAGACUCCUACGGGAGGCAGCAGUGGGGAAUAUUGGACAAUGGGCGAAAGCCUGAUGCAGCAACGCCGCGUGAGCGAUGAAGGCCUUCGGGUCGUAAAGCUCUGUCCUCAAGGAAGAUAAUGACGGUACUUGAGGAGGAAGCCCCGGCUAACUACGUGCCAGCCGCCGCGGUAA